UACGUAGGGGGCAAGCGUUGUCCGGAUUUAUUGGGCGUAAAGAGCGUGUAGGCGGCUUGGUAGGUCCGCUGUGAAAACUCGAGGCUCAACCUCGAGAUGUCGGCGGAAACCACUUGGCUAGAGUCCGGAAGAGGAGAGUGGAAUUCCUGGUGUAGCGGUGAAAUGCGCAGAUAUCAGGAAGAACACCUAUGGCGAAGGCAGCUCUCUGGGGACGGUACUGACGCUGAGACGCGAAAAGCGUGGGGGAGCGAACAGGG
rnacentral:rRNA from 1 species